rnacentral:rRNA from 1 species
AUGCAAAUGCAGUUGGGGGCAACACUUGCAGUUGAAAGCAUACUGUCGGACAUGCAGUUGCAAACAUGUUGGAAGGCAUGCAGUUGCGAGGUGGGGGUGACAGUUACAGUUGCAUGCCUAGUAUCAGACAUGCAACUCCCACCUUCCAACAAAACAAAAGGACUAGUUGCGACCACUUUGAAAGGCGUGCAGUUCGCAGUCAGGGGUGACGACUACAGUUGCAUGCCUAGUAUGACACAUGCAACUCCUACUUUCCAACAAAACAAAAAGACUAGUUGCAACAACAUUAGCAGUGGUGCAAUUGCAGUUGCGGGUGACAGUUGCAGUUGCAUGCCUAGCACUACACUUGCAAUUACCCCCUCCCCCGACUUGCAACUAACUCACCUCCAAUCUCUCUUUCCCCCUCCAACAGAAACACAAAGCCGGUUGCAGUCGGUAGGGAGACAUGCAGUAAUAGUUGGGCGCGACACCUGUAGUUGCAAGCUACUAUCGGACAUGCGGUUGCAGUCAUGGGUGACAGUUGCAUGCCUAGUAUCGGACAUGCAACUACCCCCCAUUUGCAACUACCUCACCCCCUCUCUCCUCCACCACCCUACGACAAAAACACAUGGCCUAUUCUGGUCGGUAGGAAGAUAUGCAAUUACAGUUGGGCAUGAGACUUGUAGUUGCAAGCCAACUAACGGACAUGCGGUUGUAGUCGAUGGUCAUAGUUGUAGUUGCAUGCCCAGUAUCGGUCAUGCAAUUCCCCAAAAAAACUAG